UGCAAGUCGAACGAACUUAACCAUUAGUUUACUAUUGGAGCGGUUAGUGGCGGACUGGUGAGUAACACGUAAGCAACCUGCCUAUCAGAGGGGAACAACAGUUAGAAAUGACUGCUAAUACCGCAUAUGCCUUGAGUAUCACAUGGUACAAAAGGGAAAGGAGCAAUCCGCUGAUAGAUGGGCUUGCGUCUGAUUAGAUAGUUGGUGAGGUAACGGCCCACCAAGUCGACGAUCAGUAGCCGGACUGAGAGGUUGAACGGCCACAUUGGGACUGAGAUACGGCCCAGACUCCUACGGGAGGCAGCAGUCGGGAAUAUUGCGCAAUGGAGGAAACUCUGACGCAGUGACGCCGCGUGCAGGAAGAAGGUUUUCGGAUUGUAAACUGCUUUAGACAGGGAAGAAACAAGACAGUACCUGUAGAAUAAGCUCCGGCUAACUACGUGCCAGCAGCCGCGGUAAUACGUAGGGAGCAAGCGUUAUCCGGAUUUAUUGGGUGUAAAGGGUGCGUAGACGGGAAAUUAAGUUAGUUGUGAAAUCCCUCGGCUUAACUGAGGAACUGCAACUAAAACUGGUUUUCUUGAGUGCUGGAGAGGAAAGUGGAAUUCCUAGUGUAGCGGUGAAAUGCGUAGAUAUUAGGAGGAACACCAGUGGCGAAGGCGACUUUCUGGACAGUAACUGACGUUGAGGCACGAAAGUGUGGGGAGCAAACAGGAUUAGAUACCCUG
rnacentral:rRNA from 1 species